CCCUGCUGCACUCUACAGUCCAGCCAUCCCCUUACUUCCCUACUCAGGCGAGCCGCCCCACUCUGCUUGCUGGUAGGUCCCAGAGACUCCAGCCCCCCUCCUGUUUCUCUUCUUUGUCACCAUCAUCCCAGUGCCAUCACAGUCCAUUGUCCUCCCAAAGAUGGAUGGCCAGUGUCUAAUCCAGGCUUUGCUUAUGGCUGGUGAACUGUAAACUGCCAGGAUGAAACAGAAGGUCUGGGACCAGCAAAGCCCUGAGUCUCACAACCAGCUUUCUCCCAGUCUGGCCAAGGCUUCAGCCAGGUGCUGAGCGGCCUGGGCUGGCCAGGGGAAUCCCUGGGCCCCAUGAUGUCAGCUUCGAGGUUUGGAACUAACCCCUUGGUGAAACCAAGAUGGUCUUCAGUGAAGGCAGGAAGACUGAGAGGGGAGGGUGGCUGGGGUCCAGGAACCACCAACAACAAGGUACAAGCACUUGGUGUUUCAGGAAAUACCACUUCCGCCACGGUCUAUCAGUCAUGGCGGUCACAGAGGUCAUCGUGUGUUCGGAAGGAAAAGAGUCCUA